CAGAGCUAUGGGUGCUUAUGGUCUGGGUUCCAGGCUCCACUAGUGACAUUGUGCUGACCCAGGCCCCUCCUUCCUUGGAUGUUUCUCAAGGGUAGAGGGCCACCAUCUCCUGCAGGACCAGCAAAAGUGUCAGAACAUCUAGCUAUAGUUAUAUGCACUGGUACCAACAGAAACCAGGUCAGCCGCCCAAACUCCUCAAUCUAUGUGCAUCCAACCAAGUAUCUAGGGUCCCAGCCAGGUUCAGUGGCAGUGGAUCUGGGACAGACUUCACCCUCAAAAUCCAUCCUGUGGAGGAGGAGGAUGCUGCAACCUAUUUCUGUCAGCAAAGUAAUGAGAAUCCUCC